rnacentral:rRNA from 2 species
GAGUUUGAUCGUGGCUCAGAUUGAACGCUGGCGGCAUGCCUUACACAUGCAAGUCGAACGGCAGCACGGGAGCUUGCUCCUGGUGGCGAGUGGCGAACGGGUGAGUAAUGCAUCGGAACGUAUCCUGGAGUGGGGGAUAACGUAGCGAAAGUUACGCUAAUACCGCAUAUUCUGUGAGCAGGAAAGCGGGGGACCUUCGGGCCUCGCGCUCUUGGAGCGGCCGAUGUCGGAUUAGCUAGUUGGUGAGGUAAAGGCUCACCAAGGCGACGAUCCGUAGCAGGUCUGAGAGGAUGAUCUGCCACACUGGAACUGAGACACGGUCCAGACUCCUACGGGAGGCAGCAGUGGGGAAUUUUGGGACAAUGGGGGCAACCCUGAUCCAGCCAUGCCGCGUGAGUGAAGAAGGCC